CCUAGUGUGAAUUGCAGAAUUCCGCGAAUCAUCGAGUCUUUGAACGCAAGUUGCGCCCGAGGCUCGUCCCGAGGGCAUGCCUGCCUGAGCGUCCG
rnacentral:rRNA from 1 species